rnacentral:rRNA from 1 species
GACGGGACCCGCACAAGCGGUGGAUGAUGUGGUUUAAUUCGAUGCAACGCGAAAACCUUACCCACCUUUGACAUGUACGGAACCCUUUAGAGAUAGAGGGUGCUCGAAAGAGAGCCGUAACACAGGUGCUGCAUGGCUGUCGUCAGCUCGUGUCGUGAGAUGUUGGGUUAAGUCCCGCAACGAGCGCAACCCUUGUCAUUAGUUGCUACAUUCAGUUGGGCACUCUAAUGAGACUGCCGGUGACAAACCGGAGGAAGGUGGGGAUGACGUCAAGUCCUCAUGGCCCUUAUAGGUGGGGCUACACACGUCAUACAAUGGAUGGUACAAAGGGUCGCCAACCCGCGAGGGGGAGCCAAUCCCAUAAAGCCAUUCGUAGUCCGGAUCGCAGUCUGCAACUCGACUGCGUGAAGUCGGAAUCGCUGGUAAUCGUGGAUCAGAAUGUCACGGUGAAUACGUUCCCGGGUCUU